ACGCCCGCUCAAGAACUCGAAGAAUGACGGGGCCCGCACAAGCGGAGGAGCAUGUGGUUAAUUCGAUGAUACGCGAGGAACCUUACCUGGGCUCGAACGUAAGAUGACUGUAGGUGAAAGCUUACAUCUCUUCGGAGCAUUUUACGAGGUGCUGCAUGGUUGUCGUCAGCUCGUGCCGUGAGGUGUCGGGUUAAGUCCCAUAACGAGCGCAACCCCUACCUUUAGUUGCCAUCAGGUUAAGCUGGGGACUCUAAAGGAACUGCCUACGCAAGUAGUGAGGAAGGCGGGGAUGACGUCAAAUCAGCACGGCCCUUACGUCCAGGGCUACACACGUGCUACAAUGGCCGAUACAGAGGGCAGCUACCUGGUGACAGGAUGCAAAUCUCCAAAGUCGGUCUCAGUUCGGAUCGGAGUCUGCAACCCGACUCCGUGAAGUUGGAUUCGCUAGUAAUCGCGCAUCAGCCAUGGCGCGGUGAAUACGUUCCCGGGCCUU
rnacentral:rRNA from 1 species